GUUUUAUUUUUUUGAGACGGAGUCUCACUCUGUCACCCAGGCUGGAGUGCAGUGGCACGAUCUCGGCUCACUGCAACCUCCGUCUCCCGGGUUCAAGCGAUUCUCCUGCCUCAGCCUCCUGAGUAGCUGGGACUACAGGAGCACACCACCAAGCCCAGCUAAUUUUUGUAUUUUUUGUAGAGACAGGGGUCUCACUGUGUUGCCCAGACUUGUGUCCAGUUACUGAGCUCAAGUGAUCCUCCUGCCUUAGCAUCCCAACGUGCUGGGACUACAGGAAUGAGCCACCACAAGUGGCUUCCUUUCCUU
rnacentral:lncRNA from 1 species